CAAUAGGGUAUAUUUAAGUUGCUGCAGUUAAAAAGCUCGUAGUUGGAUUUCGGGUGGGAAUGGCCGGUCCGCCGUUUCGGUGUGCACUUGCUACGCCCACCUUGCUGCCGGGGACGUGCUCUUGAGUUCACGCUCGGGACACGGAGUCGGCGAGGUUACUUUGAGUAAAUUAGAGUGUUCAAAGCAGGCCUACGCUCUGAAUACAUUAGCAUGGAAUAACACGAUAGGACUCUGGCCUAUCUUGUUGGUCUGUAGGACCGGAGUAAUGAUUAAGAGGGACAGUCGGGGGCAUUCGUAUUUCAUUGUCAGAGGUGAAAUUCUUGGAUUUAUGAAAGACGAACUACUGCGAAAGCAUUUGCCAAGGAUGUUUUCAUUAA
rnacentral:rRNA from 1 species